CAGCCGCCGCGGGAAUACAGAGGGUGCGAGCGUUAAUCGGAUUUACUGGGCGUAAAGCGUGCGUAGGCGGCUUCUUAAGUCGGAUGUGAAAUCCCUGAGCUUAACUUAGGAAUUGCAUUCGAUACUGGGAAGCUAGAGUAUGGGAGAGGAUGGUAGAAUUCCAGGUGUAGCGGUGAAAUGCGUAGAGAUCUGGAGAAAUACCGAUGGCGAAGGCAGCCAUCUGGCCUAAUACUGACGCUGAGGUACGAAAGCAUGGGGAGCAAACAGGAUUAGAUACCCCCGUAGUCCCUGUCUCUUAUAC
rnacentral:rRNA from 1 species